AUGUAAGCUUAUAAGUUCCAGGUUUACAUCAUUCUCAUUUCGACUGUUCUGUAGCACACUAAAUUUGUUGUCUUGUCUCAAAUCAUUUUUUGUUCGGCUAGAAAAACGUGACUUGUACGAAUUAACCAUGUGCUGUGCACCUUGUGGAUCGUGCUGCGGACCCUGCGGAUAUAGCUGUGCUCCCUGCGGACCCUGCUGUGGGCCUUGUGGACCAUGUUGUAGGCCGUGUGGACCCUGCUGCGGACCCUGUGGACCGUGUUGCGGGCCAUUUGGAAGCUGCUGUGGAGGUUGUUGGUGCUAAGUGCCUUGUACCUGCAGCCGAAUCGAUUCAAGAGGCCAAUGCUAAUUCCAUUUUGCACACACUAAGGUUAAUCUAACACCAAACACUCAUAGCCACAAAUAAUAUAUGACGGCAACGCAACAGUAAAAAAUAUGAAAAAAAA